GCUGAAAUAGCUCAGUUGGGAGAGGGCUAGACUGAAAAUCUAAAGGUCUCAUGUUCGAUCCUGGGUUUCGGCA